CUUAGCCCUUCUGCUUGUUUCAGCCUGAUGGGCAGCUGAGCUCCACUGUACCACUCUCUCCCCUACUCUUCAUAGAGGGGAAGAAAAUUUGAUCAAAAAGGGCUCCAGGCAUUCACCAGUUACUAUCUUCUUCAUGUCCAGCCUCUGCCCCUGCUUAAGCAUGCUUAAGCAUGGGGAUCCUCCUGUGGCAUGCUGUCCUUCAGAAACAGAUCCUACAUGUGCUUGCUACAGGCUGCAGCUGUCCCCAGCAUUGCCCCAAAACAGCUGAGGAAGUCUGCUGCUGUGGAAACUGUGAAAGUGUCUCCUCACGCAGCUGAUUUGAGCUUCUCUGAAAUUUAGGAACAAAAGGCCAUUAUGGAUUAAAGUAGAUUCUUCCUAAUGUGACUGAUGAUAUCUGUACUACAAAAGGAUUUGAGACUGCAUUACAGCUGGUGUUUCAAGUGCCUGCCUCUUCUCUCAUUUUCUGUGACACCCAGCUGAGUUUCUGAAAUACUUUGACUUGUAAAUUAUUCCUGCUUAUUAGAAGCCGUUCCUACCACACAUCUGAGAAACAGAGAUACUAGAAGGAUGCAAAUGACGAGAGAUGUGCCAAAAAGCAUGAAUAUCUGUUCCAGCAAAUGGAUACUUGGUACCAUGGUAGGAAUCACAUGUCCUCUUAACCCACAGGUCCUCUUAACAUCAUUUCUGGACUUCAGUUGUUUUAGAUGUCUUUGAUACAUGACAGCAUGUAUCUGAAUAUAGUAAGGUUUCCCGUAAGGUUGACUUUCUGUUUCAGCACACAAACACAUUGGUGAGAUCACUUCCCAUGCUUGGAGAUAGGUCAAAACUACAUUUGUGGACUGAUACUACAUUGAUUCAAAUUAGAAAAAAAUACAUACAUUGUGUCUCAUUGUAUACAAAGCAAAGGCAAUGAAAGAUUAUAUUUAAAAGCUGUAGACUAAUCAAAUAACAACAUCAUAUAUCUUCUCUUGAAGUUAACCUCAAACAAAGGGUAUUUUUAAUUAUUUAGGCAAAAUCUAAACCAGAAGCAUAAGAAGGGCACUUGGUAAUUUAUUUUCUGUCCACACAGCUGUCUUUUGUAAGUUGUUUUUUUUAUUUGCACAGAAGAAUCUCUAAAGGAAUAACCUCUCCCCUCUCUAAACUGCAGUGUAUUGCUUGUAUAAUAAUGUUAACUAUUUUUUCCUCUUCACAGAUAAUUUUCUGGGGAAAAUAAAUAAAUAAAUAAAUAAAAGAGGUAAUCAAUACAGAAAAAUGGUAAAAACAAUUCCACCUAAAAUUAAAAUUAGGAAUACAUCAUUUAGUAAGUAGUAACUAUAUAUUAUAGACAUGGGUCUAUGGUAAGUGAGUAACUUUAUACCUCUAAUCAUAGAACUGUUUGAGUUGGAAGGGACCCUUAUAGGCCAUGUAGCUCCACUCCCCUGCAAUGAGCAGGGACACCUACAGAUAGAUCAGGUUGCUCAGAGCCUCGUCCAGAGGCCUUGAAUAUCUCCAGGGACAGAGCUUUCACCACCUCUCUGGGCAACCUGUUCCAGUGCCUUACCAUCCUUUCAGACUUCGACUGUUAGACUGCUGGGUUUCACAUCAUAAAGACUCUAAAAAUAAUUAUUUCAGAUAUGUAGGAUUUGAUUACAGUUGUGCUUUAUUUUUCCCUUCCUUUUUACAGGUUGUGAAGGCAGGGCAGAAGUAGUAUUGUUGACCUAAAUUCUCUGCCUUAUGACAGAAAAAUAUUGUUUCAUAAAUCCAUUAAUUUCUUUUUGUCCUUUGUGACCUUAAAGUUGUCCCAUUAGUGUCUGCAUCUGUCUGAAAGCCAUUUAAGGACACCAACAAGGAAAGGUGAAUAGCAACUGAGAACAAGGGAUAAAAAUAGAGAUCAGUAUUUUCUAAUGAAACCAUAAAAUCUAUCUAGGAUGUGUUUGUGCCAGUCCAUUUUCUUAACUGUAUAUUCGUUAGUACAGAGCAGAAUAUUUUCUUAAUCCAUGAAGUCUUUGUAUGUAAAAAAUAAAUAUUUUGUAUACAGACAUAAACAAAUUUCACCUUGCCACAAGGAAUAUCAUAGUUAAACAUAAAACACUGCUGACUCACUUUUGGGGGUUUUAUUAAAGCAGCUGGAAAUGGUAGGCAUAUUGCAAAACCACUGUGUAAACACAGGCUCCCAAAGCACAUCAUCUUUGCAUAGUGUCAAUGACAUCCAAGUGCAAUUUGAUGGUGGCUGGUCAAAUUUCUGUUCUACUUAGAGGACUGUUUGUUCCAGAUCUUGUACUAUAUAGACAGAGAGGAUGCAAGCCAGUAAAUUAUAUUUGGCCUGGGGUCUAGGGCCUUGCUCUCUGGCAAGGUGAUAAGUGCAGUUUCAUCAUGAUUUAGGAACAUGUAAAUACAUUCCAGAGACAGAUGGAUACUUAGUUAUAUGUUAUCUCUAAAAUACAUUCAAUUAACUUUGAGAAUGUGGGAAUUUUAGCACAUAUAACUCACAUGCUGUAAAGUCAGAGUAGAAAAAAGAAAAAAAAACAACAACAUGAAUAGAAAAAUAAUAAUUUUUAAAAGUUUUCUUUAUAUUCCUUAAGAAAUGAUUUCACAGCAUUUACCAGAAUAUGGAAAAUUUGAGUUCUAACUUUAUUUUGGGAUAACAAGGAAUUUAAAUAAGAAUACAAUGUAUGUCUUAUCAAUACAUAAAUAUUUCACUGUUUCAGUACUAGAUGCAAAUUCAACUAUUUUUAUUUAUGAAGGUGAAAAAGUUAUUAAAAAAAAAAAAAGCAUUUUUCUAUUCAUUCUCUUCCUAAAGAGCCUUUGAAGAAAUUUGUGUCUAAAACAUGAAAAAAUAAUGUCUAUUCCACUAGGUGAUUAAACACUAAAAGAGGUUCUGAUAGGCUGUGGUAUCUCCCACUGCUUCACCAAAUAUAUGCAAGCACAGCCCUGGCCAGUAUGAAAAAAAAAACUGAUUUUAUUUUAAGGAGGCUCAAGAGCCUGCCAGGUUCUGAUACAAAGACUGUGUAUCAGAAUCCCAGAAGCUUCCUACUGUAGCUUCCCAGUACGCGUACAGCAAGCAAUUUUGAAUUGUCUUAUUUGUUAAUAUCUCACUUCAUUAUGUACUCUUUUUUCUUCAUCUUUUCUAUGUGAGAAAACAUAGUUGAAUAACUCAGUGAAAUUGAAAGGUUGAAAAAUGUGUUUACAAUGCUGCAAAACAACAUUCUGACCUCAAAAUCAUUAGUUUUUCAGAACUUUAAAUCAAAAACAUCUCCAUAUUUUUUCUUACCAUCUUUUCUUAGCAAGUCUUAGCAUUCAUUUGUUGUUGUUAGAUCAGAAAUUAUCUCUUACUGUUUCUUUGGUGUAUUGCAGUAAUUUUUUUUUUUAUUUUUUUUUCAGGGAGUAGUUCUACAUCAUUUGCUUCAAAGCAAUUUUUCUUAGUUACACAAAAACAUUAUUCCAAAACAAAAUUUCAAAUCCAUAGUAACAUUAUUUACACAUAAAAUAUGCAAGCAGUAAUAUUUGUUCAUGAGAGGUAAUCACCCAUAAUUGAUUACACAGCAAAUAAAAAAUCAGCAUUUUCAAUAACCAGAAGUUGUUUAUUAUGAAUACACAUUAUAUUUAGUCUGUAUGACUAUUAUUUCAGUUACAUAAGUAAGGAAGAUUAAUUUAUUGGGUAGUGCAAAAAAAAGAUACAAUUUGUUCUUUCCUUGCUUUGAAACAAAGUGUUCCGAGCUCCUCCUGUUUGCUCUGACUUUUCCUUGUAACGUUCUUUCCUGCAGGGUUUGAGGUGGGUAGUUGAAGGACAGACUUAGAAGGUUGGAAUAAUGAUUACUUCUGGAAGGUUUGUUUUCUGAGAAAAUACUGAACUUUCUGAAAUGAUUGAAGUUAUUCUUCUGUAACACAUUCAAAGUAAUUUUACAAGGCCAGUUUUGGAGUAGCCAACUGCAACUAAGCUUGUCCUAUGCCAUAUAUAAAACCUCAGUUUUUGAUUCAUAUAUCCUGUUUUGCUAAAGUUGUAUUUCACUCUGGUUUCAUUUUAGGUGAAGAUACAAACACAGAACCCCAUUUCUCUACUAUCAAAAUUGGAGGAGAUGGUGUGUUUUGUAAAAUUAGCAGGAAUAAAGUGCAACUGAAUUGUGUAUAUGCACUUCUGAUAUUCACCUAAUUGAAGCUGUAACAGUAGAGUUAAUUAAAAUUGUAAGCUGCAGGUACUCAGAGCCUCAACUAGCAGAUAAAAAUGUGAUUAGCAUCAUAUAAAGGCAAAUUGGAUUAAUUCCUCUUGGGGUAUGACGUACCCAGCAGACACCACAUUACAGUCUUCAGCACAUUGACUGUUGCACUGUAUGAGGCAUCCCUGCAGUGAGGGAAGGUUUGACAAAGGACAACAAAGCCACAGGGAACCUUAUUCUAGAUUUGACAAUCAGAAAAUGCUCAUGGUGAAAAACUGUUUACAAAUUCUUUUAUGCCUAUGACAAGAAAGAGGGCUGAUAUUUUCCUCUGAAGGUAGAACUAUUACAGGAAAAAAAAAAAUGAUGAGGAAAAGUGGACAGUGUAUUACUUUUUUUUGCAGAAGCUCUGUUUAACCCAGUAUUGAAAAAAAAAAUUCAACAAUGUGGACGCUGACAGCAAUUAUCUAGUCCUAUCUACUAAUUACAUUUUGGUUUCUAUGAUGUUGGAAACAUAGAUGACAUAAUUUAGGCCUUAACAGCACAGAAUCUACUGGAUAAAUCCUUGCCUGUGGAAAGAAAUACAUCAACUUGGACUGGUAAGACAUCUAUCCCACCAUAAUGCUGUGACCUAGUUCUGUGCCUAUCUGAACCUUCGAAGGGCCUCCAGUAUUUCCAGUUUGUGAACUGCCUUAGAUCAUCAUUAUCUUCCAGAUUGCUAAAGCUUGAGGUGUCUGUCUUUUGCCUCUUAGCUGCACAAGAUUUUGAGCUGGAAAAGCUGGCCUCUCAACUGGUUGACACAUUAAUCUAACCAGGUGUGGGUCAAUAGCAAAUAUCUAAAGCCAAAUUCAAAAUUGACUUAGUGUAGCUCUAUUGUAACUUAGCUAAAUGUCCCACAGGUACUCUAUUUACAGAUGGUAGUAGAACAGGAUGUACAUCUUUGCAUCAGGGCUGAAAAAAAGACAAAAUGAAAGAGAAAAUGAAUAAGAAUAAUAAGAAAGUGAAAGGAACAUCUGGACAUCUCCGUCUCACACAUUGGUUGUAUUUGGAUACACUAUGCGUCACUACCAGUCCUAUUUAGAAACUUGUACAUUUCAAACACGCAGGAUUUCUGUACCAAUGGCUGAUUUAAUUUGGUAACACACAAGUGACUGAAGGAAAGUUUUAUUUUUAGUUUAAUAUUCUUCUGCCUCUGACAGAGUGUUCUGAAAUCGGAUGUCCACAGAUGUCAAAUAUACUGACUUGCCUGAUUUGUUAUCAUAAAAGCAUUUUGACUCAUACUGCCAUCAUUUUCUGGGGUUCUUCUAGCAAAUGUGAAAAUUAAUCAGUUGUAUGACAUGUAAGUCUAAUGGGUUUGAUAGUAUAGUCCUGCGUAGUAUUAUUGCUCUGUUGCUUUUCUGUCUGAUGCUCAGUUACUGUUUUAUUUCUAGUAUACGCUCAAUUUCCACAGAUAAUUCCUGGUGGGUGAAACUCCCAAAGAUGCAGUUAGUGUGCUAGCAAGGCUGCUCUGUAUCUCCUUUGAGAGGCUGUGGAGAUGAGAGGAGUCUCAAAGCAUGAAGAAAGGGAAAAUUGCACCCAACUUAAAAAAAAAAAAUAAAAAUAUGGAGAAUGGAAUUACUGAGUGUAAAUCAUGCAUGAUCUUGACUUUAAGCUAUUAAGCUGUUAUUAUUAUACAUAUUAAGCUAUGGCAUCAGACUAAUCAGACCAUUGGGAAGAGAACUUCACUGGAAACAUGUGAAUGACCUAUGACAGUUAAAUUGGAAGUUUUGGUUGCACUUUCUUUAGCCUAGUAUCUUUUUGACGUUUAGCAGUCACAUUCAUGUUUUGUGAUUUAGUGGAUAUCAAUGAAGUUAGUGCAGCCAUAAAAGAUUUUCCAAAGAAUGUAGGUGGGCUUCUUGUAUGCUAUUUGUUGACUAAAAAUUGAAGUACAGAGCUCUCAGCAAGAUUAGGUUGUUGUCAGUGUCUGAGAUGUCCAGCUUUGCAAUAUGUGCAGACCUCUACUCUACGGAAAAGUUAAAUGUAAAUAGACUGCUUUGUAGGUACAAUCUGACAUCACAGUGUGGUAAAAAUGAAGAUUAUGCAGCCAGCUCCAUAUAUUACUGUAAUAAAAAAGAUAAAUAAGUUAACUAAUACAAAAUUUCUUUUCUUUUUUUUCAUAUUUUUUCUAGGAUAGAAGAGAGUUUUAAUACGAUAGUGUAAAUGUAAGCAGAUGAGCACCCCCUGACACCGAGACAUUUCUGGAUCAAGAUGUGGAGAACUACUUUGCUUUUCUGUGUUUGUAUAUCUGUCUGUCUGUCUGCCUGCCUGCCUGUCUUUCUUUCCCUGUUUUCUAUCUUUUCUAUUUAUCUUCUUUUAUUCUUUCAUUCUUUGUAGUAGCCAUUGCCUAAUAUUGUCUUAGAAGUUUUAGCAUAGAGAUAAAUCUUACAUUGAGGUGCUCUUACCCAUAGCACUUAUUAAUCUUUAUUAGCAAAAUAGCUAAUUUUACCAAGUAGAGUAUUAGCUGCUGUUAAAAAGUUCUCAAUAAAUUAAUUUGUAUUAUUCUCCGAGUCUUAAAUAAACCAUGAAUAACACUGAUCUUUUUUUCCCCCCCAGGAAAAUUCCACGUGCUUCAAGAAAAAUUCUAUGUCACAGAAUAAAAAAGUUAGAGCUUUCUGAUUGCUACCUCCUGCCAAUGACAUGAAUCUCUUGAAAAUCACUUUCCCUGCAGCUGUGAAACCUUGAACCAUUUUACCCGAUCAUGAUUAGUAGUUCCUGAGCAGAAGUGUUUGAGCAAGUCCUAACAGAACCACUUUUUGGUUUGGAACUGUUUCAAGGGAAGAGAAAAAUUGUACCGAUACCAUAUGAAAAGAAAAGGUCAUGGAAAGCAUGAGUGGAGGUUCUACAAGGGCAGGUGCAGACUCCUGCAUGUGGAUAGGAAUAACCACGUACAUCAGAACAGAUUAUGGGUCGACCUUCCAGCAAGGAGCUCUUUGGAGAAGGACUUAGGAACUCUGGCAGACAACUUGUGGACCAUGAGCCAGCAAUGUGCCCCUGUGACCAAGAAAGCCAAUGGUAUCCUGGGUCGCAUCAAAAAAUGCAAGGCUAGCAGGUCGAGGGAGGUGAUCUUCCUCCUCUACUCUGCCCCAGUGAUUUUACAUCUGGGGUACUGAAUCUAGUUCUUGGCUCCUCAUUUCAAGAAAGACAAGGAAUUACUAGAGAGGGUCCAGCAGAGGGCCACAAAGAUGAUUAGAGGCCUGAAGCAUCUCCCGCACAAGGAAAGGCUGAGAUACCUGAGAACCUUCAGCUUGGAGAAGAGAAGACUGAGAGGGAAACCCAUCACCAGUUAUAAAUAACCUAAGUGUGGAUAUCAAGUAGAUGGGGCCAGGCUCUUCCUAGUGGUGCCCAGCAAAAGAACAAUGGACAACAGGUGAAAACUGGAACACAGAAUGUUCCAAAUGAACAUGAGGAAAAAACUUCUUUAAUUUGAGAGUGACAGAGCACUAGAAGGAAAAGGCUGCCCAGGGGGGUUAUGGAGUCUUCUUCUCUGGAGAUAUUCAUGACUCACCCGGGAUCUUUCCUGUAGAUGUACUAUUGAGAACUUGCUUUAGCAGGGAGGUCAGAGUAGAUGAUCCCCAGAGAUCCUUUCCAACCGCUAUGAUCGGUGCAACACUGAUAACCCAUAGCAUUAGCUUUACUGUCUUCUCCUUACGUGAUUUUUUUUUACAGUGGUAUUCUGUGUCGACUUCAAUAGAUUUAUUCUGGUUUAAUGGCUUGGUAAAUUGAAAUCUGUCUCAUUGUACUUUUUUAUUGCAAGUAAAGAUACUGAAGAAGCAAUGCCUCUUUACAAGUUACUCUAAGUGCUUAUCUACUGUUUAUUACAUAUACCACUAACUGCUUAGCAAUUUAAGUCUGAAGUAUGAUGUUUAUCUGAAAAAUACAGUAGGUAUUUUGUGUAUAUAAAAUAAAUUAUUUUCUCA
rnacentral:lncRNA from 1 species